AGUGUGUGAUUGCUGCAAAGCUAUGGAAUCAACUUCCUGUUGCGGUGAAGACAUCCUCUCCUGUUGAACACUUCAGGAAAGCUAUCAAAUAUCAUCUAUUUUCUAUAGAAGACAAUGAAUAGCAUGGACUAAGCUGAACAUUCAGAGAUGUUUAAUUAUUAUUUUAGUGGCCAAAACUUGGAGUAGUGUGUGCUUUGUCAUCGAAAGGAAAAGGCGCUUUGUCAAAUUACUUUAGGAUUGGAUUGGAGACUAAGUAAAACAACAAAAAGUGCUUCGGGAUACAACAGAGGAAAACUAUGGCCUUAAAGACUGUCAUCACGCUGUUGCUUCUUCUCGCUGCUGCAGUUCUUGUCUACGGUACUUUCGUAAAAGAAACUGGAGAGGGCGCCAAUUAUUUAGAUCCCAUUGGAACCGAAUUGACUGACGAGCACACGAUGAAAGAAACUGUCGCAUGCAGAGUAAACGGUCAGAAUUGUCAGUGUUAUCCCAGAACCGAAGUUAUAUACAGCUGCUAACAGGACUUAAUCAUUUUGGUUACAUGAGUAUAUAGCAGGAAGCGGACGGACCGCCUGCGUGGAAAACCAUUAGAUUGGGAAAUCUGAAGGUAGCACGACAUUUUCUCCGGCGACAAUAGCUCCGGGCUUUAUUUCGUCUAAGAUAUAGGGUUAUGAUUAGGUUUUCUAUAGGGUUUUAGGUUUAUGGUUCGGUUUAGCAUAGAGUAUAGUGUUAAAUCCAGGGUUGAAAUAGGUAAUUCCAUUGAUAUGUGGACUUUGCAGCGGAGCAAUUGUCGCCGGAGCAAAUGUCUUGAAACGAAUCUGAACGUGAAACCAGCUGCGAAUAAAAAUCUCUAAUUAAUAUCUAUGGAAUUAGCAUGGGAUAUAAUGGUAACACAUCGGUAUGAUAACGUUUGAGUGUAUGUAAAUGACUUACUGUCAGGCAUUCGCUACACUGCAAAAACUCCAGUGUUGAUUUAACACCAGCCCGGAAUCUAUAUAUCUCCACACCAGAGAUUCGUAUUGAAACAACACCAGUUUGGAAUAAAAUCGAUGAUGUUUUAAAACUAAUUGGUGUUGUACAAACACCUAUCUGGUGUUAGACCAAAACGAAACUGGUGUUGUUUAACACUUCUAUGGUGUGGGCAUUUUCACACUGUUGAAUUAGAGCAGUGUGAACAGUGUGAAUAUUAUGUGAACACACUGUGUGAUACUAUGUUCUUCCAGCUGGGCUAGGUCACCUCUAAUGACAAGUCUUUUGAAAUGUCGGUCUUUAUCACUUGAUAUUCUUAUUUUUACACUGCUAAAUUUACGUUGUAACGUAUCUAACACUGGUGUAAAAAAAUUUUGUGUGGUCCUCUAUGUACACCGGUUAACACCACAGUUUUUGCUGUGUAGUCGACCAUACGCCAUACUGUCUUCCGUCUCUCUUUUAUACUAUAGAUUUGUAAUGUUCCCUUGUAUUGAAACUAAGUUACAGUGGCUUGCCUCCCAUACAAGCUUUGCUUUUCUUGGCAAGCCACUUCGUUCUGUUUUAUAUAGUUAUUAGUCAACGUUACUUUAAUUCGCAUUAGUGCUCAUUGUUUAUACCUUCUAAUUCUUAUGCAUUAUUCCGAUUGAUAUUGUACUUUGAUUUUUUUUCCACUUCCACAGGGUUCUUUAUUUUCAAAAAGCAUUGUAUAAACAUUUACAAUAUUUCAGACAAACAGUAAAUAAACAUGUACUUUAAAUUUGACUAUGUAUUGUUACUUUGAUUUUGUUGUGCUUUGUGAACGGAAAAUGAAUAAAAUCUAAAUAAAAAAAUCUAAAUCUAAAAUCUAUAAAAACUGUAGACCUAUGAAAUGUGACCAGCCACCCCAAGACCAUCAACGAGUUUCCCAAAAAUGAAAGUUGAGAUUAUCAUUAUUAUAUCAUCAAAGGUUAUUGUAUAAAUUACAAUGUUAUGGUGUAAGAGGAACUUCUUUGCAUUGGUUGAAAAUUUAUCUGCAUGAUGGUUUCCAAUAUGUAUCUUACAAAGAUACCUUAUCAAAUUCCAGUUCAAUUUCACGUGGCGUUCCUCAAGUGUUCAUAUUUGGACCCAUUUAUUUUUCCAUAUCUAUCAAUGAUUUUCCAUAUUGUAUAGAUAAGCUCACAUUUAUUUUGUUACCCGAUGACACCAACAUUUUAAUCUCAAGUGAUUAAUUUUCUUCAUUAAAUGCAUUACUUAAUACUGAACU